CAGAACGAACGCUGGCGGCAGGUCUUAGGCAUGCAAGUCGAACGGAUGACAGAGAGCUUGCUCUCUGAAGUCAGUGGCGCACGAGUGAGUAACGCGUGGGAAACUGCCCUUCACUGGGGAAUAACGUUUGGAAACGAACGCUAAUACCGCAUACGCCCGCAAGGGGAAAGAUUUAUCGGUGAUGGAUGUGCCCGCGUUGGAUUAGCUAGUUGGUGGGGUAAUGGCCUACCAAGGCGAUGAUCCAUAGCUGGUCUGAGAGGACGAUCAGCCACGCUGGAACUGAGACACGGUCCAGACUCCUACGGGAGGCAGCAGCUAAGAAUAUUGGGCAAUGGAGGAAACUCUGACCCAAGCCAUGCCGCGUGAAUGAAGAAGGCCUUCGGGUUGUAAAGUUCUUUUAGUCAUGAAGAUGAUGACAGUAGUGACAGAAAAAGCACCGGCUAACUUCGUGCCAGCCGCCGC
rnacentral:rRNA from 1 species